rnacentral:tRNA from 1 species
UCCCUGAUAAUUCAGUUAGUAAAGUAUCUGCCUGCAAUGCAGGAGACCCCAGGUUGAUUCCUGGGUAGGGAA